UCUGUGUCCUUCGGACUACUGGGAAUUAUGACUAUACUGUGUCCUGUGGUCCUGCUCCUACUGUUCUUCCUGCUCCUUGUAUUUUUCUGUCUAAAAAAGAGAGAGAAAUUGCAGCUUGAUGACUUCGGAGACACUGCAGGAAUCCCACUCAAAUAUAACACAGAGGCUCCAGAGGACAGCAUGGCUUGGGAGUAAUAACAGGUGAUAAUAACAAACUACCUGUGUCUUCCAAAUGGGAACAGAAGAGGAUGGGCAGUAUUCAGGGGACGUGGCUCUGUAGCUGACU